rnacentral:rRNA from 1 species
GAUGAACGCUGGCGGCGUGCCUAAUACAUGCAAGUCGAGCGAACAGACGAGGAGCUUGCUCCUCUGACGUUAGCGGCGGACGGGUGAGUAACACGUGGAUAACCUACCUAUAAGACUGGGAUAACUUCGGGAAACCGGAGCUAAUACCGGAUAAUAUAUUGAACCGCAUGGUUCAAUAGUGAAAGACGGUUUUGCUGUCACUUAUAGAUGGAUCCGCGCCGCAUUAGCUAGUUGGUAAGGUAACGGCUUACCAAGGCAACGAUGCGUAGCCGACCUGAGAGGGUGAUCGGCCACACUGGAACUGAGACACGGUCCAGACUCCUACGGGAGGCAGCAGUAGGGAAUCUUCCGCAAUGGGCGAAAGCCUGGCGGAGCAACGCCGCGUGAGUGAUGAAGGUCUUCGGAUCGUAAAACUCUGUUAUUAGGGAAGAACAAAUGUGUAAGUAACUAUGCACGUCUUGACGGUACCUAAUCAGAAAGCCAUGGCUAACUACGUG